rnacentral:rRNA from 1 species
CUAAGAAUCUUCCACAAUGGACGGAAGUCUGAUGGAGCGACGCCGCGUGGACGAUGAAGGCCGUGAGGUUGUAAAGUCCUUUUCGGGAGGGGGAAUAACCUGGGGAGGGAAUGCCCCGGGGAUGACGUGAAUCCCGGAAUAAGCCCCGGCUAACUACGUGCCAGCAGCCGCGGUAAUACGUAGGGGGCGAGCGUUGUCCGGAAUUACUGGGCGUAAAGGGUGCGUAGGCGGUUUUGUAAGUUGGAUGUGAAAAUACCCGGGCUUAACUUGGGGGCUGCAUCCAAUACUGCAGGACUUGAGUGCAGGAGAGGAAAGCGGAAUUCCUAGUGUAGCGGUGAAAUGCGUAGAUAUUAGGAGGAACACCGGUGGCGAAGGCGGCUUUCUGGACUGUAACUGACGCUGAGGCACGAAAGCGUGGGGAGCAAACAGGAUUAGAUACCCUGGUAGU